rnacentral:lncRNA from 1 species
CAUGAUGGCCUAGUCUGUGGAAUUAGAUGGGAGCCAAGCCUGCCUCUGUGUGCUGGUAUCCAAUUAUGGUGAGCCCCUGUACAGCAAGUCUGUGGAGGCCCUUUGAGUCAAGCACCAAAGCAACCUAAUUAAGGUUGAUGACAAUAAAUGGGCAGGCCUCUGUAAGACCCAUCAUGAGGAGAGACCAUACAAAGUGGUUGAUUAUAGUUGUGUAGUGGCUAAGGAUUAUGGGGGAAAAAAAAUCUCCUCAGGCCAAGGAUGUCACUGAAGAGUACUUCAAAUGCAAGAAAUAA